rnacentral:lncRNA from 1 species
AAAAUGUUUCUUCAAAGCUUACUUGGUAACAAUCACAUUAAUUGUGACGUCCAAUGCGGACUCUUUGGAGAGGUCACGAAUAUGCAAGUCAUGAGACUCGAAAGAAAGAAAAGGAAAAUAAGAGUAAUUAUACAAAUAUACGUGGCCUAAAGGAAUGCAUCAUGUCGGGUACGGGUGAACUAACAUUCGUGACUUUCAAUGUUCCCUUCAAUAGAGGGAAUACGAGU